rnacentral:lncRNA from 1 species
AUUGUAUACUGUAAAAGAAGUUCUUUAGAUCCUAACAUGCCAACAUGCUAUGUGCUUGCUCUGACUGAUGCCUGCCUAGUGUUAUAGAAGUCCUCUGAAGGGAGGGUGCCUUCUGGAUGGAACCCUUUCCAGGAUUAGGGGAGAUAUCUUCAGGGUGCUUAGAGAUUUUCAUUAGGGUGCUCUCUAGUUACUGUGUACUAUGACUAUCCGGAGGAGCCCCUUAAACCCACUGUCCAGCCAGUUGUCCCUGAAUCCUAACAAGCACACACACUGCCUUAAGGUUCACCACUAAGGACUUUGCUUCAAUUGUUCUAGAAUGGGAAUACACAUUUCUAGAAAGCUCAUAUUGCUCUAGAUGGCCUCAUGUGUUUGUAGACCAGUUGGCUUAUACUUAGAAGUCCAUAAUACUGAUUUAGGAAGCAUGAGGUUGGUCGGCCAUAGUAGAAUUUACCUUUAAUCACAACACUGGAGACAGAGCCAGGCAGCUGUCUGUGAGGUCAAGGCCAGCCUAGACUACACAGUUGCAAUGAGAACUUGUCUUAAGAAGAAAAUACACACACAAGAAAAGAAAAAAGAAA